AGUCACCGUCUUCUUCUCUGCCCCUUCAAAUUUGCGCAUUGAUCUCUUCUUUGGAUUUGAUUAAAUUAUGAACGUUCCAUCUCAGACCGUGCGGGUGGCGGGCGGCCCAGAAGUGCCCGCUCAGCUGCGGGGCUGGGGUCGAGCGGGACGGGCGAGGGGACGGUUUCCCCCUUUCACAGCUUGCUGCAGAGGAACCCAGCCACUUGGAAGCCAUGUGUUGAAGAUAAAAGGACCACAAGAUGGAAUACAUCCGGUUUCCUGAUGUAUUUUCCUCCAAAUACAUCAUUUGGAGGAAAGCCAACUCCAAUGCGUAGUGCUCAUUUUGGACUUGAUAAAUAAACUUUCAUUGUCUUUAAGUC
ensembl:lncRNA novel transcript